CUUCACCAGGUAUCCUGACCAUGAUAGUUCCUCUGAGACAUUAUUGAAUUACAAGGUCUGAGAAGUCCUGAGCACCAGCUAACAGAUCCUUGAGAAGAGGGUCAAGACACAAAGGGAUGUGUUCUUCACUCUUCCUCAUUUGUCAAGUUGAGGAAGAAGUG
rnacentral:lncRNA from 1 species